UACGUAGGGGGCGAGCGUUGUCCGGAAUUACUGGGCGUAAAGCGCGCGUAGGCGGCGCCAUAAGUCCCGUGUGAAAGCCUCCGGCCCAACCGGAGAGGGUCGCGGGAAACUGUGGGGCUUGGAGUGUCGGAGAGGGAAGUGGAAGUCCCGGAGUAGGGGUGAAAUCCGUAGAGACCGGGCCGAACACCAGUGGCGAAGGCGACUUCCUGGCCGACGACUGACGCUGAGGCGCGAAAGCGUGGGGA
rnacentral:rRNA from 1 species